rnacentral:rRNA from 1 species
GACGAACGCUGGCGGCGUGCCUAAUACAUGCAAGUCGAACGAGAGCGACCGGUGUUUCCACUGGUCAAUCUAGUCGCGAACGGGUGAGUAACACGUGGAAAACCUGCUCAUCACAGGGGGAUAACAUCCGGAAACGGAUGCUUAACGCGCAUACGUGUUCGAACCGCAUGGUUUGACGUGGAAAAGAGGAGCAAUCUCCUGCUGAUGGAAUGAGCGGCGUGGCAUUAGCUCAUUGGUGGGGUAACGGCUCCCCAAGGCUCUGAUGCAUAUGCGACCUUAGGGGGUGAGCGGCGACGUUAGCACUGAGACAGGGCCCAGACUCCUACGGGUGGCAGCAGUAGGAAAGGUUGCGAAAUGGGAGGAAGUCUGACGGUGCGACACCGCGUGAGUGAAGGAGGUUUCGGGAUCGGAAAAGUCUGUUGUUUGAGAAGGACAUGUAGUAGAGUAACUGUUAGCGCGUUGACGGUAUCUAACGAGAAAGCAACGGCUAACUACGUG